AACAUCGCGCACCUGCGGGAACCUGCGGAAGGAUCAUUAUCGAGUGUAAUCUACCCCUUUAAAAAAGGGUAGUACCUCCCGUCCUUUGCAGGCCUCUUUUUUUAUUAGGGGGGGCUUUUUAAGACUUUCUGCUUCGGCGGGGUUACUCCCGCCGGAACACCCUCAAAAAAUUCUCGAAAAAAAUCGUUCAGUCCGAGAACUUUUUAAAAAUAAAAUAAAACUUUCAGCAAUGGAUCUCAG
rnacentral:misc_RNA from 1 species